rnacentral:rRNA from 1 species
UGGGGAAUAUUGCACAAUGGGCGCAAGCCUGAUGCAGCGACGCCGCGUGAGGGAUGACGGCCUUCGGGUUGUAAACCUCUUUCAGCACAGACGAAGCGCAAGUGACGGUAUGUGCAGAAGAAGGACCGGCCAACUACGUGCCAGCAGCCGCGGUAAUACGUAGGGUCCGAGCGUUGUCCGGAAUUACUGGGCGUAAAGAGCUCGUAGGUGGUUUGUCGCGUUGUUCGUGAAAACUCACAGCUUAACUGUGGGCGUGCGGGCGAUACGGGCAGACUAGAGUACUGCAGGGGAGACUGGAAUUCCUGGUGUAGCGGUGGAAUGCGCAGAUAUCAGGAGGAACACCGGUGGCGAAGGCGGGUCUCUGGGCAGUAACUGACGCUGAGGAGCGAAAGCGUGGGGAGCGAACAGGAUUAGAUACCCUGGUAGUCCACGCCGUAAACGGUGGGUACUAGGUGUGGGUUUCCUUCCUUGGGAUCCGUGCCGUAGCUAACGCAUUAAGUACCCCGCCUGGGGAGUACGGCCGCAAGGCUAAAACUCAAAUGAAUUGACGGGGUCAUAGCUGUUUCCU